UGGGGAGUCGUCUAAUAGGUAGGACGCGAGACUUUGGAUCUCGCUAUGCAGGAUCGAAGCCUGCCUCCCCAG
rnacentral:tRNA from 1 species